rnacentral:rRNA from 1 species
CCAUUGUAGUCCACACUGCAAACCAUGACACCCAUGAAUUGGGGAACAUCAUUGGGUGCCCGUGUGGCGGCCUUUUGUGCCGACCCUCGGCCCCAAUUUAUUUAUCAAUUUACGUGCCUAUUCUAUCACCCCCGGUUCCCUCUUUUGAGGUUCUUCCGGGGUUUUUUACGGGAAUAUCCUCAGCACGUUUCUUACUUCUUCACGCGAAAGCUUGGAGGUUACAGUCUCAGGGGG